GCGUUGUCCGGAAUUAUUGGGCGUAAAGGGCGCGCAGGCGGUCUAUCAAGUCUGAGGUGAAAUAACCCGGCUUAACCGGGGAAGGUCGUCGGAAACUGGUAGACUAGAGUGCAGGAGAGGAAAGUGGAAUUCCCGGUGUAGUGGUGAAAUGCGUAGAUAUCGGGAGGAACACCAGAGGCGAAGGCGGCUUUCUGGCCUGCAACUGACGCUGAGGCGCGAAGGCUGG
rnacentral:rRNA from 1 species